CCACCCGUGUUGCCCGAACCUAUGUUGCCUCGGCGGGCCCCGCGCCCGCCGACGGCCCCCCUGAACGCUGUCUGAAGUUGCAGUCUGAGACCUAUAACGAAAUUAGUUAAAACUUUCAACAACGGAUCUCUUGGUUCCGGCAUCGAUGAAGAACGCAGCGAAAUGCGAUAACUAAUGUGAAUUGCAGAAUUCAGUGAAUCAUCGAGUCUUUGAACGCACAUUGCGCCCUCUGGUAUUCCGGAGGGCAUGCCUGUCCGAGCGUCAUUGCUGCCCUCAAGCCCGGCUUGUGUGUUGGGCCCCGUCCCCCCCGCCGGGGGGACGGGCCCGAAAGGCAGCGGCGGCACCGCGUCCGGUCCUCGAGCGUAUGGGGCUUCGUCACCCGCUCUAGUAGGCCCGGCCGGCGCCAGCCGACCCCCAACCUUUAAUUAUCUCAGGUUGACCUCGGAUCAGGUAGGGAUACCCGCUG
rnacentral:rRNA from 1 species